rnacentral:misc_RNA from 1 species
CAGGAGAUGGAUGCUGUCAGAAGAAACAAACACAUGUUUGGAAACAAGCUGGAUGAAAUUCAACUCUCCAGUCACUCUUCUUCUGGUACAAGCACUCCCAAAAAUAUCACUUCAGUGCCUGAUUCUGCAAAUUCUGAUACCAUGAAAUCUUCACUGCUUGUGGAUGCUUCAAAUUCUUUAUCUGUACCAUAUGACAUGUCACUUAUUGACAUGGACUUGUCCAAUUACCCUGAAAAAGUUCCUGCUGCUAAUGAAACUGGGAUUAGGCAAGGAUAAUGGAGUAACUGCAGUAAAUAGGUAGAAGGGUGUCCUUGAAGAAGAAAGUUAAGAUGAAUGCGAGAAGUUAUUUCUAGUUCGGGGAAGCGUCUUAUGCAUGAUUGUGUGCUAAUACUGAUGUCAAUUUUCUCGAGCGCAUUAAAGCCCUCUAUUCUCUCUUUUUCAGGUUCAGCAUUAUAGUCUCUCAUGUUAGACUUCCCGGCUUCCCCUGAUUAUCAUUAGUGGCCUGUUAUUUGCCAUCUGCUUUGUAGAUACAAAACUUC